GUCUACGGCCCUGCUACCCUGAACAAGCCCAAUCCCGUCUCAUCUCAGGGUAGGCCUGGUUAAUACUUGGAUGGGAGACCACCUAGGAAGGCCAGGUGCUAUAGGUA
rnacentral:rRNA from 1 species